rnacentral:rRNA from 1 species
AUUGAACGCUGGCGGCAGGCCUAACACAUGCAAGUCGAGCGAGCGGCGGACGGGUGAGUAAUGUCUGGGAAACUGCCUGAUGGAGGGGGAUAACUACUGGAAACGGUAGCUAAUACCGCAUACCAUCAGAUGUGCCCCGAUAGGAUUAGCUAGUAGGUGGGGUAACGGGUCACCUAGGCGACGAUCCCUAGCUGGUCUGAGAGGAUGAACAGACAAACGGGGACGGAGACACGGUCCAGACUCCCACGGGAGGCAGCAGUGGGGAAUAGUGCACAUAGGGCGCAAGCCUGAUGCAGCCAUGCCGCGUGUGUGAAGAAGGCCUUCGGGUUGUAAAGCACUAUCAGCGGGGAGGCGUUACCCGCAGAAGAAGCACCGGCUAACUCCGUGCCAGCAGCAGCGGUAAUUC